rnacentral:misc_RNA from 1 species
UCCGGUUUGUCACCGGCAGUCUCACUAGAGUGCCCUUGCGUAGCAACUAGUGACAAGGGUUGCGCUCGUUGCGGGACUUAACCCAACAUCUCACAACACGAGCUGACGACAGCCAUGCAGCACCUGUGUUGCGGUUCCCUUUCGGGCACCAAGACAUCUCUGUCCCGUUCCGCACAUGUCAAGGGUAGGUAAGGUUUUACGCGUUGCAUCGAAUUAAUCCACAUAAUCCACCGCUUGUGCGGGUCCCCGUCAAUUCCUUUGAGUUUUAGCCUUGCGGCCGUACUCCCCAGGCGGGGUGCUUAAUGCGUUAGCUACGGCACCGCAGGGGUCAAAGCCCGCGACACCUAGCACCCAUCGUUUACGGCGUGGACUAC